rnacentral:rRNA from 1 species
UACGAGGGGGGCAAGCGUUGUUCGGAAUUAUUGGGCGUAAAGGGUGCGUAGGCGGUCUGACAAGUCUGAUGUGAAAUCUAUGGGCUCAACCCAUAGUCUGCAUCGGAAACUGUCGGGCUUGAGUAUGGGAGAGGUGAGUGGAAUUUCCGGUGUAGCGGUGAAAUGCGUAGAUAUCAGGAGGAACACCUGUGGCGAAAGCGGCUCACUGGACCACAACUGACGCUGAGGCGCGAAAGCUAGGGGAGCAAACAGG